CUCUUUCCCUUGUUUUUCUCUGUCUUUAUCCCUAAAACCAUCCAUUUCAUCUUUCUUUCUUAAUUUCUCCCCAAACUCCCUUCUCUGUCUAGAUCUUCAUCCCCUUCUCUCCUUUGCCCUUUUCUUCUUCAACCCGCAAGCCGUAUUCUUCUUCAGCCCCAUUCUUUCCCAGCCCACAAGUGCCCCCUUCUCUCCAGUGGUCGCCUUCUCUAGCAGUUGCCAUUAUCUUCAUUCCUAUUAAUUCUACUCCAAGUUGGCUGGUUCAUGUUGGAAGUUUCAUUUUGACCAGAAUAGAAAAGUAAACAUGCGCAUGCAUGAAGGUUAGUUUAUGCUGAUUUUUAUGUCUUGUGGGUUUUCUGGUGCGAAUGCAGUACUGUGUUUUAUGGGCAGUACAAGUGCAUAGGACCAGGAGCUAGCUUUAGCAGGGAGAGUGUCAUGGUCCAGAGAACUUACUAACAAGGAAGCCAAGCCUUUCAUUUCACUUAGCUUCUUUGAUGGGUCUGGAUGGAUUAAGUUGUAAUUAAUCCACAAUUUUUGUCUUUCUUUUUUUACAAUUAUUGAUCAUCUUUGUAAAAGCCUUGAUAUUUUUUUUUUUUAGAAAUGGAAAUAAUAGAUAGUAUUUGUAUAUAGUUUUGAUAAGUAGUUUUUGUACAUAUCUAAAAUCUAUUACGUUGAAAAGAUUUUUAGAAUAUGGAUUUCUGGAAUGGAGUGGUAGCUGGUAGGUAGUCCCUAGGUGCGGGACCACCGAGAGAGAGAGAGAGAUAUUCGAAUGAUUUGGGUCGGGUCUAAUUUGGGUCUCGGGUCGGAUCGGUUUGGCGCCCUUUUGUGGUUGGGUUGAGUCGGAUCGGCCCCAGACCCGUUGUAUUUUAAUUGGUGUGCAGGCUUAGUUGGUAUGUAAUUUUGUGGAUUGUUAGUAUGUAAUCUGAAUAAAUGUUGGUAUGUUUGUAUA